rnacentral:tRNA from 1 species
GGUUGUGGCUCAGUGGUAGAGUGCUUGCCUAGCACGUGUGAGGCACUGGGUUCAAUUCUCAGCACCA